ACUAGUCCAGAUGUGUUUUCCAAUCCCAGAAGGAAAAUCCAGUCUAUAUCUUUAAUACAGUAAAUAUCCUAACAUACUUUGAAAAUACUGGACACUGAUCUGUAAAAGAAGCAUAAGGAGAAGAUUUUGAGAAGCUUUUGGAGUAGAGCAGAAGAAUAUAACACUUAGCUGCAAUCUUAUUUGCCCUGCCCAUGCACAAAUACUGUUCCAUUUUAUUGUUGUUUUGGUGAUCAAGGUGGUUUAAAUGUACAUUUUCACCCAUGCUCAUCUGUGGGUUGGCAUGGCACUUAAAUAAGUGAUACUUUCAACCAUGUGUUAAAUAAAAUUUGGCUUUUUUUCAUUGUGAUAUGAGCACCACCCAGCUAUGAGGUUGGACAAAUAUAAAGCUGGCCGAUCCUUAUUGGUAACGCUGUUAAUUUUAACUUGUUAAUUUAACUUGUAUUUUAAAUGUGUACUUUCAGACCACUUCACAUAGCCGCACGGAAUGGACUUAAAAAGGUUGUGCAUAAUUUACUCAGCAAAGGUGCAAGCGUUCUUGCUGUGGAUGAAAAUGGUCACACCCCAGCCCUGGCUUGCGCUCCUAACAAAGAUGUGGCUGACUGUUUGGCACUCAUUUUGGCUACCAUGAUGCCUUUCUGUCCUACCAGCACAAUGACGUCCUUCAGCAUCAGUCUAACAAAAAAUGGUAGUCUGAACACACCUCUAUCUUAUGAUUCCCCUAAUAUGGAUAGCAACAUAAAUUCUUUCAACAAACAGUUGUACAACCGUGUAGGAAAAAUGGAUAGAGGUCAGGAAGAUGAUGAUGAAAAUGAUUCAGACUCUGAGACAUUCUGAUUGGUUUUAGAAAGCUUGACACGCACGAGAAAAGUUUUAAUUUGUCGUUCAAUUGAAGAUUACAGACGAUCUCUCAAUCACUGCAUAUUAAAAAAAGCACUUAUUUGAAGGCACUUUUCUUACAGGAUUUAAGAGGAAAGCAGAAUCUUGGAAUAUUGAUUCGUAGAGGACUAUUGAGUAGGGCACAUGAUUUGCUAAUGCUCAAAUCUGCCAGAAGUUGGCAUUUUCACUCUCUCUGGGACAUUUUAUGCAAAUUUGUGGUACUUGGGCCACAAAUUUUGCUACUUGCAGUACCUGUGGAAGUUUAUGGGCUUUGUCAUGACUGUGUUUUCCCAUGCCAAAUUGCUUGCCCUACAGUGAGAUAUUAUAACUUUGACAAAUUAGCACAAGCAUGCAUUUUGCACUUCCUGUUAAAAACUUGUGAUAAUAGAGUUGUUAGGAACUAACCAUACACCUGAGCCGUUAACUACUGAUAAACUUUGAAUGACCUGUCCCAGGUUGCAGUGUCAAGUAUUCAUAAGUUAAAAGAAAACUUGAUGGCACCCUUUUAUUUUAAAUGUACCAGUGACUUUAGGUGACUGUUCUUUUAGCAGAAUAGUAUUUCAUACCUUUUUUGUACAGCCUCCAUUGGCAGCCUUUAAACAAUGUAUAGCAAUUUUGUUUAAAUCUACCCGUCUGUAGGAUGAAGAGAGUAACUGCCACAAAGAACAGUUCUGAUGAAAUCUGCUUCAUCUGCCAAAGCUUAAUAAGUUAAAUGGACCUAUUCUUUCACCUGUGACAGGAACGCAGCAGGUGGAAUAACAAGUUCUUUUUGUGUCUGGCCAGCGAUGCCAAAUGGACCAAACAUGCUACAGAUUGGGACUGACUGUUUUCAUUCUUUUAAACUUAAAAGCCUUUUUUAAUCAUAAUAUUUUCAUAGCUACAUUGAAGUAGCCUGUUUCAGUAAACAAUACAGUAUUUGAAAUACAAAAAAUGCAUUUCACAUAAGUGAGAUCAGAUAUUGUUAGAUUAGAAAUCAGCAAGAUAAAGCUUCAGAAAGUACAAAACCUUAUUUGGAAACUAUUACAUUGCUCUUUGCGGUGGCUGAGCAAUUACUGCAACCUUGCUAUUUUGACUAAAAGCACUGAAAAACUUGCAAGAAACCUUAAUUGUCUUGUUACAGUAGUACUGUAUAUAGCUGUCCACGCAGAUAAAAUUCAAGAGACCUCUGAUAUGAAAUUGCUUUAACGCAAUUAAGUACCAUAUCAUAUUAAAGCACUGAAAUUGAAGGAAAAAUGCCAAAAGUGAUAGUUGUGUCUGGAGAAGACAAGUGUUUUGUUAACUAACUUUAGUAAAAGCUUACAGCCACAAUAUCAUUUUGGAGCCAUCUGCUUCUCCAUUUUAUUUACUGAAAUGAAAUCAGCUGGUGACUUCUCUAUUGUGGCUGUUUUAUAAAUACAUUUUUUGUUUGUGUAUUUAAAGUUGACUUGUUUGAAUCAAUGGGAUACAAAAUUAAUACAUUUUUAAGUGCACAAUUUAAGCAGUUACUGAUGUACUUUUGAACUUUUUAUAGUUUUUAAUAUAAACAUGGAAAAAAAACCUGACAAAAUAAAUACUGGAACUUCGAGAUCCAUUGCAUUGUGAUUGGCAAUCUUUGUAGCAAAUGCUUUCACUUGGGUUGAUAUCAAAUACUAUUUUGUUUUUGUUGCUUUAUGAAAUAGUUAGUGCCUUUCUGCCCAUGAGUACUUUCCAGAUGGUUUCCAAAUAUCUUACAGAACUUUGCUAAUUAAUAUCCAAGCAAUAAUGUUAAUUUAAAUUUUGAAUUUAAAAUGAAUGUAAAAUUUUCUUUUUAAAGGUUCAAAACAUCUGAAUGAAGAGUGCUUUGUUCAUUAAACCAUCAUGGAUUGUUUUUGCAGUGUUGUAGAUUGCUGUAGGUCUUGCUGAAGACUUAGCUUAUCAUUAAUUUGGAAAAGGGCAUUUAUAAAUUUGACAAUCUGUGUAUUUUAAAACCAUAAAAACAAUUAUUUGUGGAAGCUUAUGCAGUGGUCCAUUCAUUUAAAACACCUAUAUCUUCCAUUUGGUAAUCUUGUUGACUUAUAUGCUUUAGCAUGUGCAAUAUGUCUUGUUAUGGUAUAGUAUGGUAUCAUGAUACAGUGACAGUGUUAUAUUUUGUUUUAUGCAGUGAAUGUGUAACAAUCUAGUGAAAAUGAAAAUGUACAGUGGAAGCAGUAGUCUAUGGAAAUUUUAUGUAUUUGGUCAUAUUUCUACAGUUUAGAGGGUAUAAAUUUAAAGACUUUUUUUGAUGUACUUCAAGACUGUCAAAGUGUAAGAAGUAAAUCCAAAUCAAUUUAAAUCCAGCCUGGACCUCAAGCACACUUUGCUCUUAGACUUUUGUGAACUACUGAAUGCUUCAGUGAUGUAUAGAAGUACUUAUUGUAAACUACUUUUUUUUAUUAAAAGCAUUCAGAUGCUGUAUAUUUUUAUGAAAAUAAAGGGUACAGAUGCUGAUGCAGCAA